UAGGAUUAGAUACCCUAUUAUGCUUAGCCUUAAACAUUGACAACAAAAUACACCUGUUGUCCGCCUGGGUACUACGAGCAUCAGCUUAAAACCCAAAGGACUUGGCGGUGCUUUAGAUCCACCUAGAGGAGCCUGUUCUAGAACCGAUAACCCCCGUUCAACCUCACCCUUCUUUGUUUCUCCCGCCUAUAUACCGCCGUCGUCAGCUUACCCUGUGAAGGACCUAUAGUAAGCAAAAUUGGCACAGCCCUAAACGCCAGGUCGAGGUGUAUCGUAUGGAAGGGGAAGAAAUGGGCUACAUUCUCUAACAUAGAGAAAACGAAUGAUAUACUGAAACAUAUAUCUGAAGGAGAAUUUAGCAGUAAGCAGGAAAUAGAGUGUCCCGCUGAAAUUGGCCCUGAAGCGCGCACACACCGCCCGUCACUCUCCCCAAACUAGCUUAACUCAAUUAAAUAAAACCCUAACACAGUAAAGGGGAGGCAAGUCGUAACAUGGUAAGUGUACCGGAAGGUGCACUUGGAAAAAU
rnacentral:rRNA from 1 species